rnacentral:rRNA from 1 species
AGUGAACGCUGGCGGUAGGCCUAACACAUGCAAGUCGAACGGAAACACAGUAAGCGCUUGCUCCUACGGGUGGCGAGUGGCGGACGGGUGAGGCAUACAUCAGAAUCUUCUUUUUCGUGGGGGAUAACGGGGGAAAGCUUCCGCUACUACCGAAUAUGUCGUACGGGUGAAAUCAGUAGAUAUUCGCACCUUUCGCGAUUGAAUGAGCCGAUGCCGGAUUAGCUAGUUGGCAGGGUAAAGGCCCACCAAGGCGACGAUCCGUAGCCGACCUGAGAGGAUGAUCGGCCACACUGGAACUGAGACACGGUCCAGACUCCUACGGGAGGCAGCAGUAGGGAAUAUUCCACAAUGGGCGCAAGCCUGACGGAGCAACGCCGCGUGAGUGAAGAAGGUCUUCGGAUUGUAAAACUCUUUUAUUAGGAAAGAACAACAGCGUAUGAAUCCCCGCCUGUUCUGACGGUACCUAAUCAGUAAGCACCGGCUAACUUCGUG